rnacentral:rRNA from 1 species
UGGGGAAUAUUGCACAAUGGGCGCAAGCCUGAUGCAGCCAUGCCGCGUGUGUGAAGAAGGCCUUCGGGUUGUAAAGCACUUUCAGUCGUGAGGAAGGUAGUGUAGUUAAUAGCUGCAUUAUUUGACGUUAGCGACAGAAGAAGCACCGGCUAACUCCGUGCCAGCAGCCGCGGUAAUACGGAGGGUGCGAGCGUUAAUCGGAAUUACUGGGCGUAAAGCGCAUGCAGGUGGUUUGUUAAGUCAGAUGUGAAAGCCCGGGGCUCAACCUCGGAAUAGCAUUUGAAACUGGCAGACUAGAGUACUGUAGAGGGGGGUAGAAGUUUCAGGUGUAGCGGUGAAAUGCGUAGAGAUCUGAAGGAAUACCGGUGGCGAAGGCGGGCCCCCUGGACAGAUACUGACACUCAGAUGCGAAAAGCGUGGGGAGCAAAACAGGAUUAGAUACCCUGGUAGUCCACGCCGU